GGAUCAAUUUGUCGGUCGUGCCUCGGUACGUACUGGUAUUAUUGGUUUCUCCCUUCUGACGAACCACGAUGUCAUUAAUUUGGUGUUGUGGGAAAUCAGGACUGUUACUUUGAAAAAAUUAGAGUGUUUAAAGCAGGCUCACGCUUGAAUACAUUAGCAUGGAAUAAUGAAAUAGGACGUUUGAUUCUAUUUUGUUGGUUUCUAGGAUCGACGUA
rnacentral:rRNA from 1 species